rnacentral:rRNA from 1 species
AAUACGAAGGGACCUAGCGUAGUUCGGAAUUACUGGGCUUAAAGAGUUCGUAGGUGGUUAAAAAAGUUGGUGGUGAAAUCCCAGAGCUUAACUCUGGAACUGCCAUCAAAACUUUUUAGCUAGAGUAUGAUAGAGGAAAGCAGAAUUUCUAGUGUAGAGGUGAAAUUCGUAGAUAUUAGAAAGAAUACCAAUUGCGAAGGCAGCUUUCUGGAUCAUUACUGACACUGAGGAACGAAAGCAUGGGUAGCGAAGAGGAUUAGAUACCCUCGUAGUCCAUGCCGUAAACGAUGUGUGUUAGACGUUGGAAAUUUAUUUUCAGUGUCGCAGCGAAAGCAUUAAACACACCGCCUGGGGAGUACGACCGCAAGGUUAAAACUCAAAUGAAUUGACGGGGACCCGCACAAGUAGUGGAGCAUGUGGUUUAAUUCGAAGAUACGCGCAGAACCUUACCAACACUUGACAUGUUCGUCGCGACUUUAAGAGAUUAAAGUUUUCGGUUCGGCCGGACGAAACACAGGUGCUGCAUGGCUGUCGUCAGCUCGUGUCGUGAGAUGAUGGGUUAAGUCCCGCAACGAGCGCAACCCUCACUUUUAGUUGCCAUCAUUUAGUUGGGCACUCUGAAAGAACUGCCAGUGAUAAGCUGGAGGAAGGUGGGGAUGACGUCAAGUCCUCAUGGCCCUUACGUGUUGGGCUACACACGUGCUACAAUGGCAUUUACAAUAGGAAGCAAAAUGGCGACAUAAAGCAAAUCCUAAAAAGAUGCCUCAGUUCGGAUUGUACUCUGCAACUCGAGUACAUGAAGCUGGAAUUACUAGUAAUCGCGGAUCAGCGCGCCGCGGUGAAUACGUUCCCGGGUCUUGUACACACCGCCCGUCACACCAUGGGAGUUGGUUCUACCUUAAGGCAAGGUUUAAAACCCUUGACUACGGUAUAGUCAGC